rnacentral:rRNA from 1 species
AUACGUAGGUGGCAAGCGUUGUCCGGAUUUACUGGGCGUAAAGAGUAUGUAGGCGGACAUUUAAGUCAGAUGUGAAAUCCCCGGGCUUAACCUGGGAGCUGCAUUUGAUACUGGGUGUCUAGAGUGUAGGAGAGGAAAGUGGAAUUCCUAGUGUAGCGGUGAAAUGCGUAGAGAUUAGGAAGAACACCAGUGGCGAAGGCGACUUUCUGGACUAUAACUGACGCUGAGAUACGAAAGCGUGGGGAGC